CCUGCUUGCAGGAAGGGAACUGCCUGUCCGGGAAUGCGUGACUACAAUCACCCGCUCCCUGACCUUGCCCUCCCGGCACUGCUGUCUGUGCGCCAAGAGGGAAAAGCACACGGAGACGGGACGGCUCGGGCGCCUGUGGGUGACCUGUGCGGACAAGCCUCUCAGCAAAGCUGCAGCCUGCGGUGAACGUUAGCCCCAAAUAACAGAAAAAUACCCGCCCAAACUUUCAGUGCAGACAUGUGCUCACAGGCCACACCUCCCUUUCUCCUUGACAAGCUGCCUAAAUGGGCGCUGCCAGCCACCUCCUCCCCAGCCUUCCUCCGAUGGUUUUGAAGCCAUCCCAGGUCUCAGCUCCCUGCUCCCCUGUUCCCUCAAGCCUAAGCUUGGAGCGUGCCCAACUACCCGUCACACUCAAGUCUUCAGGUUGGAGCUUGAGGACCCCAGACCCAGAGGAGGGUGUGUCUGUGCCCAAGAGCUGACCUCCUUUGUGGACCCUGGCACUUGUUCCCGGACGCCACCCCACCCAGAUCAGGACCUGAGCCUGGUGGCCUUGGACUCUAGCCCACAGACCUCCUCUGCAGCGUCAGACUUGUCCAGUGACCCCACUUGGGAGAUCCGACAGUCAUGUUUGGCUUCAAAGCAAAGUUUGUAUUCACUCCUAGAGAAAUCCCUGCUCAUCACUGACUUGGUCCAGGGAAUGUUCAGAUGGAUUCAACCUUCUGAGAUCAGACUCUGAGAGAGUGGCAGGCAGUGUAGCCCAGGGCUGGGGCAGGUGAGCAUUAACACCACCCAGGAUGCAACCCAAAGAUAGGGGCAAACUGAUCUAAAGUUUAUAUGGAAGCAAAAGACCCAGGACAGCCCACACAAUAUUGAAAGAGAAGAACAAAGUUGGAGGCUGACACCACCCGGCUUUAAGACUUGCUAUAAAGCUUGUUACCAACAUAGUGUGGUGUUGGUGAAGUAGCAGACAAAUAGAUCAAUGAAACAGAAGAGAGCCCAGAAAUAGAUCCCAUAAGUAUGGUCACUGAUCUUUGGCAAAGGGGCAAAGGCAACACAAUGAAGCAAAGAUAAUCUCUUCAGCCAAUGGUGCUGAAACAACUGGACAUCUACAUGCAAAAAAAAAAAAAUCAAUCUAGACACAGAUCAUUUACCCUUCACCAAAUUAAAUCAAAAUGGAUCACAGACCUAGCUAUAAAACACAAAACUAUAAAACUUCUACAAGGUGGCACAGGAGAAAAACUAGAUGCCCUUGGGUAUGAAGAUGACUUUUUAGAUACGACACCAAAGAUAUAAGCAACAAGCUGGACUUCAUUAAAAUUACAAAUGUCUGCUGUUCAAAAGACAGUUUGAAGAGAAUAAGAAGACAAGCCACAAACAGGAAGAAAAUAUUUGCAAAAGACAAAUCUGCUAAAUAUACAAUGAAUUCUUGAAACUCAACAAUAUGAAAACAAACAACUCAAAUUAAAAAUUAGCCAAUGACCUUGACAGCUACCUCACCAAAGAAGAGAUACAGACGGCAAGUAAACAUAUGAAAAAGAUGCUCCACAUCCUAUGUCAUCAAGGACAUAAAAAUUAGAACCACCUAUACGGCUCUAAAAAAAUAGUCUUAUGAAAAAUAAGAAAAGACAACAAAAAGAGUCUAGAAGGGACAAUGGCGUGGAUAUAGAGUCUGUCCCCUGACUCGGAGCUCCGUGGGACAGGGUGUCUCGGAGAUGGGCAGGAGUGACCAGGCUGCACUCCAGGCCAGGGUCCCCUCGUGCCGCAGCCACACUAGGAAGGCACAGUGCCCUCCCCUCCAAAUGGCCGAGGGACGCAAUGUUGAAAGCAGGCUUUGCUCAGUCUCUUUGGCCUUAAAGUUGUGGAGGGCACAUCCUCGGGGCUGCUUCCCUGCGUAUUAGUAAGACGCUCAGUGCCGACUGCUCAGACAGCCCAGGGCCGAUGACGCCUUCGCCGUUUCUGCAAAGGCAGUCUCCAUGGACAUGGGGCGCUGGACGGCAGUGGGAGGCAGGGGCC